AGAAGCUCCUCACUGGCCACGCAGACCUUCUGAAACUCCCAGGCUUCCUGCAUGACAAGAAGGUUUGUUACUGAGCUCUCAGUAAGAUUCCUUUGGAGGCCCACCCAUUCCCUUCAUGGUAGCUCCACUGAGGAUCCAGACUAGCAAUAUCUGAGGAAGGUCCACCCUGUUUGCUUCCCAAGGGCCCAGGGUCUCAACUCUACUGCUCACCUUCCAGCCUUCCAUUCAUCCCCAACCUCCAGGAUAUCUUCUUAAUCACAUCAGCUUCAGCAAAGAGCACUCUUCUAUGCAGCUUGAACAGAGGAAGUGACACGAUCCAUGCAUUGCUGAGUUUGUAGCAAGGAAGAAAAGUGAUCCUUAGUUGUGUGAGAGCAGUCCUUCACCUGCAGAAUUAAGUCGUGUUCUGACUUUCUCAGAGGGCGUCGACUUAUCCAACAAAGAGGAGUAAUUGUCUUCAAGAGAAUUUGUAUUAUCUGCAAUAAGACUUUGGUGCG
rnacentral:lncRNA from 1 species